rnacentral:rRNA from 1 species
CCUACGGGAGGCAGCAGUCGAGAAUCAUUCACAAUGGGGGAAACCCUGAUGGUGCGACGCCGCGUGGGGGAAUGAAGGUCUUCGGAUUGUAAACCCCUGUCAUGUGGGAGCAAAUUAAAAAGAUAGUACCACAAGAGGAAGAGACGGCUAACUCUGUGCCAGCAGCCGCGGUAAUACAGAGGUCUCAAGCGUUGUUCGGAAUCACUGGGCGUAAAGCGUGCGUAGGCUGUUUCGUAAGUCGUGUGUGAAAGGCGCGGGCUCAACCCGCGGACGGCACAUGAUACUGCGAGACUAGAGUAAUGGAGGGGGAACCGGAAUUCUCGGUGUAGCAGUGAAAUGCGGAGAUAGCGAGAGGAACACUCGUGGCGAAGGCGGGUUCCUGGACAUUAACUGACGCUGAGGCACGAAGGCCAGGGGAGCGAAAGGGAUUAGAUACCCUAGUAGUC